rnacentral:lncRNA from 1 species
UUGAAAGGUAUAAAGCCAGGUUAGUCAUCAGGGGUGACACCCAGGUUGAGGGGAUUGAUUUUACUGAAACUUUCUCUCCUGUGAUUAAAAUGACUUCUCUGAAGUGCCUUAUUGCUAUGGCUGUCAAGAAUCAUUGGCUUCUUUUUCAACUUGGUGUAAAUAAUGUCUUUCUUCAUGGUGAUUUGGAUGAGGAUGUUUACAUGAAACUCCCUCCAUGUUUGACAGUCUCCCCUUCUCCUUCUGGUUCUGUUUCUUCCUCUUCUUCUUCUUCUUCUCCCCCUCUGGUCUGUCAACUCAAGAAAUCCUUAUAUGGGCUGAGACAAGCUUCCAGACAAUGGUAUGCCAAAUUGUCUUCUACUCUUUAUUCCAGAGGGUAUACUCAUUCUUUGAAUGACUACUCCUUGUUCAUCAAAGGUAUACCUGGCUCCUUUGUGGUGGUAGUUGUCUAUGUGGAUGACAUAAUACUCACUAGGGAUGACAGUGAUGAACUGAUUGCUCUGAAACUGUUUCUAGAUGCAUAGUUUAAAAUCAAGGACUUAGGGUCCUUGCAUUAUUUUCUGGGCCUUGAAGUGUCUGCUGUCCCUAGUGGGAUGCACCUUAAUCAGCACAAGUAUAUCUCUGAUCUGCUGCAUCAGUUUGACUGUGUCAAUGUAUCUUCUGUUGUGUCCCCUUUGGACAUCAAUGUCAAACUCCAUGCUGAUUCUGGUGAUCUCUUGCCCUCUCCUGACCAGUACAGGAGUCUAGUUGGCAAGAUGCUCUUCCUGACUCACACCAGACCUGAUAUUUGUUUUGCAGUCCAGCAUCUGAGUCAAUUUCUCAAAUCCCCCAGACUUCCCCAUAUGACUGCUGCCCUGCAUGUUCUGAGAUACCUCUCCAGCAUCUGAGUCAAUUUCUCAAAUCCUCCAGACUUUCCCAUAUGACUGCUGCCUUCCAUGUUCUGAGAUACCUCAAAGGCACUCCCUCAUUUGGUUUAUUCUAUUCUGAUCGUGCUGAUUUCUCUGUUGCUGGGUUUUCUGAUAGUGACUGGGUUGCUUGCCCUGAUACUAGGCGCUCUGUUACUGGCUUUUGUGUGCUGUUGGGUGGCUGUUUGAUCAGUUAGAAAUCGAAGAAACAGCCUGUUUUUCUCUUUCCUCUGUUGAGGCAGAAUAUCGAGCCCUUAGCAAGGUUGUUGCUGAGUUGACUUGGCUCUCUCGCUUGUUGGCUGAUCUUGGGGUCUCUAUUUCCUCUCCUAUUUCUGUUUUUUGUGAUAGUAUGUCUACUGUUCAUAUUGCUACCAAUCCUGUUUUUCAUGAACGUACGAAACAUAUCGAGGUGGAUUGCCAUUUUGUUCGGGACUUGUUGCUUUCUGGCUUUAUCAGGUUACUUCAUGUGCCCACUUCCAGUCAGUUGGCCGACUUCCUCACCAAGCCUCUGCCUGGCUCUUUACUGCUUCCGCUGCUCUCCAAGUUGCAGGUGGUUCCCCCCUCCAACUUGAGGGGGGGUGUUGAGAUACAAGCUGUUCCAUGAUUCAGACAUGAUUGUAUGGAGUGUAUACACAGUGUAUAUUUAUUUUAUUUCUGGUAUACAAUAGCAUGGGCUGUGAUGAUUAUGUGUUAUUUGGGCCAUUUGUAUUUGCCGAGCCCACUUCAUGUCUGAGCCCCAUUUCAUUUUCUUAUUUGGGUCCAUUGACCCGAUCCGUUAUGUAUUUGUAUAUAUAGGGGUCCCCAGAUAUUUUGGGACCCCCCGGACUUCAUUUUUCAUUGUUUGUUCUC